UAAGACGGAGGGGGCUAGCGUUGUUCGGAAUGACUGGGCGUAAAGGGCGCGUAGGCGGUUUUUUAAGUGAGGCGUGAAAGCCCUGGGCUUAACCCAGGAAUUGCGUUUCAGACUGGAAGACUGGAGUACGAGAGAGGUAAGUGGAAUUCCUAGUGUAGAGGUGAAAUUCGUAGAUAUUAGGAAGAACACCAGUGGCGAAGGCGGCUUACUGGCUCGUAACUGACGCUGAGGCGCGAAAGCGUGGGGAGCAAACAGG
rnacentral:rRNA from 1 species